rnacentral:rRNA from 1 species
UACGUAGGGGUGCGAGCGUUUUGUCCGGAAUUACUGGGCGUAAAGAGCUCGUAGGUGGUUUUGUCGCGUUUUGUUCGUGAAAACCGGGGGGCUUAACCCCUCGGGCGUGCGGGCGAUACGGGCAGACUUGAGUACUGCAGGGGGAGACUGGAAUUCCUGGUGUAGCGGUGGAAUGCGCAGAUAUCAGGAGGAACACCGGUGGCGAAGGCGGGCUCUGGGCAGUAACUCGUGAGGAGCGAAAGCCAGGGGAGGCAAAACGGGG